rnacentral:rRNA from 1 species
UACGUAGGGUCCGAGCGUUGGCCGGAAUUACUGGGCGUAAAGAGCUCGUAGGUGGUUUGUCGCGUUGUUCGUGAAAACUCACAGCUCAACUGUGGGCGUGCGGGCGAUACGGGCAGACUUGAGUACUGCAGGGGAGACUGGAAUUCCUGGUGUAGCGGUGGAAUGCGCAGAUAUCAGGAGGAACACCGGUGGCGAAGGCGGGUCUCUGGGCAGUAACUGACGCUGAGGAGCGAAAGCGUGGGGAGCGAACAGG